rnacentral:rRNA from 1 species
GUGGGGAAUUUUGGACAAUGGGCGAAAGCCUGAUCCAGCCAUGCCGCGUGCAGGAUGAAGGCCUUCGGGUUGUAAACUGCUUUUGUACGGAACGAAAAGACUCUGGUUAAUACCUGGGGUCCAUGACGGUACCGUAAGAAUAAGCACCGGCUAACUACGUGCCAGCAGCCGCGGUAAUACGUAGGGUGCAAGCGUUAAUCGGAAUUACUGGGCGUAAAGCGUGCGCAGGCGGUUAUAUAAGACAGAUGUGAAAUCCCCGGGCUCAACCUGGGAAGUGCAUUCGUGACUGCAAGGCUAGAGUGUGUCAGAGGGAGGUGGAAUUCCGCGUGUAGCAGUGAAAUGCGUAGAGAUGCGGAGGAACACCGAUGGCGAAGGCAAUCCCCUGGACCUGUACUGACGCUCAUGCACGAAAGCGUGGGGAGCAAACAGGAUUAGAAACCCGAGUAGUCC